rnacentral:rRNA from 1 species
CCUACGGGAGGCAGCAGUGAGGAAUAUUGGUCAAUGGGAGAGAUCCUGAACCAGCCAAGCCGCGUGAGGGAAGACGGCCCUAUGGGUUGUAAACCUCUUUUGUCGGAGAACAAAACCCGGGACGUGUCCCGGACUUCGUGUAUCCGAAGAAAAAGCAUCGGCUAACUCCGUGCCAGCAGCCGCGGUAAUACGGAAGGUCCGGGGGUUAACCGGAUGUAUUGGGUUUAAAGGGAGAGUGGGCCGUAUGUCAAGGGGGCUGUGAAAUGUCCGGGUACAACCCGGGCCUUGAAGCGCGAACUGGCGUGCUUGAGUCCGCGGAAAGCAGGCGGAAUUCGUCGUGUAGCGGUGAAAUGCUUAGAUAUGACGAAGAACCCCGAUUGCGAAGGCAGCUUGCUGCAGCGCAACUGACGCUGAUGCUCGAAAGCGCGGGUAUCGAACAGGAUUAGAUACCCCGGUAGUC